UACGUAGGCAGCAAGCGUUGUUCGGAGUUACUGGGCGUAAAGGGCGCGUAGGCGGGCUGUCAAGUCUGGGGUGAAAUCCUCCGGCUCAACCGGAGAACUGCCUUAGAUACUGACGGUCUCGAGGAGGGUAGGGGCAUGCGGAACUAUGGGUGGAGCGGUGAAAUGCGUUGAUAUCCAUAGGAACUCCGGUGGCGAAGGCGGCGUGCUGGACCCUUUCUGACGCUGAGGCGCGAAAGCCAGGGGAGCAAACGGG
rnacentral:rRNA from 1 species